UACAGAGGGGGCAAGCGUUGUUCGGAAUUGCUGGGCGUAAAGGGCGCGUAGGCGGCCUGUUAAGUCGAACGUGAAAUCCCCAGGCUCAACCUGGGAACUGCGUCCGAUACUGGCAGGCUUGAAUCCGGGAGAGGGAUGUGGAAUUCCAGGUGUAGCGGUGAAAUGCGUAGAUAUCUGGAGGAACACCGGUGGCGAAGGCGGCAUCCUGGACCGGUAUUGACGCUGAGGCGCGAAAGCCAGGGGAGCAAACGGG
rnacentral:rRNA from 1 species